rnacentral:snoRNA from 1 species
AUAUGGAGUCAAGAGUCACCAAAUGUGUAUAUUAUUGCCACUUUGGUGCUAGUGAUUUCCUACAAUAAAUUGUGGCUUUAUGCACUGAGUUCUUGCUUUAUCAGAGAUACUUGGUUACCUUAGCUUGGGACACU